rnacentral:sRNA from 1 species
GCCUGCUGAGCACAAGGUCUCCCUGUGAACUUCUUCCUGGCCUUCAGGGGUGCCUGUCUCCUUGGUAUGAUCACAUAGAGGAUGCCCAGAUCAUUAGAGGGCCUAGUAUGUCUUGGUGGGAAGAAACAAAACAGCAAAGGGAGUCCUAGGGGAGGAGGUGGGCUCCCCAUCCUUCUUGUUCUGGAAGUUCUUCAUCCCCUUGUUUCUCUGGUCUGGACUUCAGCUUCUUUAUGACUGGCUAUCUCCCACUGGGAUUUGAGUUUGCUGUGGAGCUCACGUACCCAGAAUCAGAAGGCAUCUCCUCCGGCCUCCUCAACAUAUCUGCACAGGUAUUUGGGAUCAUCUUUACCAUCUCCCAGGGCCAGAUUAUUGACAACUAUGGAACCAAGCCUGGGAACAUCUUCCUGUGUGUGUUCCUUACUCUUGGAGCAGCCCUCACUGCAUUCAUUAAGGCAGAUCUCCGGAGACAGAAAGCAAACAAAGAAACUCUUGAGAACGUGAGUAUGUGGGAGCUUUGUGGGGCUGAGAUCGGGGUCCAAGGAUUUUGAUGAGGAUGUGGCAACAUAGAUGGGGCA